rnacentral:rRNA from 1 species
CAGUUCAGAUUGUAGGCUGCAACUCGCCUACAUGAAGUCGGAAUUGCUAGUAAUCGCGGAUCAGCAUGCCGCGGUGAAUACGUUCCCGGGCCUUGUACACACCGCCCGUCACACCAUGAGAGCCGGUAACACCCGAAGUCAGUGACCUAACCGAAAGGAAGGAGCUGCCGAAGGCGGGGCAGGUAACUGGGGUGAAGUCGUAACAAGGUAUC